AGUGAACGCUGGCGGUAGGCCUAACACAUGCAAGUCGAACGGCAGCACAGUAAGAGCUUGCUCUUACGGGUGGCGAGUGGCGGCCGGGUGAGGAAUACAUCGGAAUCUACUUUUUCGUGGGGGAUAACGUAGGGAAACUUACGCUAAUACCGCAUACGACCUACGGGUGAAAGCAGGGGAUCUUCGGACCUUGCGCGAUUGAAUGAGCCGAUGUCGGAUUAGCUAGUUGGCGGGGUAAAGGCCCACCAAGGCGACGAUCCGUAGCUGGUCUGAGAGGAUGAGCAGCCACACUGGAACUGAGACACGGUCCAGACUCCUACGGGAGGCAGCAGUGGGGAAUGUUGGACAAUGGGCGCAAGCCUGAUCCAGCCAUACCGCGUGGGUGAAGAAGGCCUUCGGGUUGUAAAGCCCUUUUGUUGGGAAAGAAAAGCAGCAGGUUAAUACCCCGCUGUUCUGACGGUACCCAAAGAAUAAGCACCGGCUAACUUCGUG
rnacentral:rRNA from 1 species